rnacentral:sRNA from 1 species
GCUGGGUGCAGUAGUGCACACCUGUAAUCCCAGCAGCUCAGGAGACUGAGGCAGGAGAUUGUGGAUUGGAAGCCAGCCUCAGCAACAUGGUUGAGUUGCUAAGCAACUCAAUGAGACCCUGUCUCUA